UACGGGGGGAGCAAGCGUUGUUCGGAUUUACUGGGCGUAAAGAGCGCGCAGGCGGCUGGUCAAGUCCGAUGUGAAAUCUCCCGGCUUAACUGGGAAACUGCAUCGGAAACUGAUCGGCUUGAAGGUGGGAGAGGGUAGUGGAAUUCCCGGUGUAGUGGUGAAAUGCGUAGAUAUCGGGAGGAACACCAGUGGCGAAGGCGGGUCUCUGGGCCGAUACUGACGCUGAGGAGCGAAAGCGUGGGGAGCGAACAGG
rnacentral:rRNA from 1 species